AUUCCGGUUGAUCCUGCCGGAGGUCAUUGCUAUUGGAGUCCGAUUUAGCCAUGCUAGUUGCGCGGGUUAGACCCGCAGCAGAUAGCUCAGUAACACGUGGCC
rnacentral:ncRNA from 1 species